rnacentral:lncRNA from 1 species
UGGGGGGGCUAGGAUGAAAAUUUUUGUCCUGCAUUUUUUUUUAGUUGUAAUCUCUGUCCUGCCUUUUUAUUUUUCACUCUAUUCGGUCCUGCUUUUUUUUUUUUUAGUUUAUCCUGACUUUUUUGACAUAAAUUGUCAUCCUGACUUUUUUUUUUGCAAGUGUCUCAUCCUGCCUUUUUUUUUACUCAAAACUCCUGUCCUGCCUAUUUUUUUAAUU